rnacentral:misc_RNA from 1 species
UCCGAGUUGACCCCGGCAGUCUCCCAUGAGUCCCCGGCAUAACCCGCUGGCAACAUGGAACGGGGGUUGCGCUCGUUGCGGGACUUAACCCAACAUCUCACGACACGAGCUGACGACAACCAUGCACCACCUGUGAACCGGCCCCAAAAGGGGAAGGACUGUCUCCAGCCCGGUCCGGCCCAUGUCAAGCCUUGGUAAGGUUCUUCGCGUUGCAUCGAAUUAAUCCGCAUGCUCCGCCGCUUGUGCGGGCCCCCGUCAAUUCCUUUGAGUUUUAGCCUUGCGGCCGUACUCCCCAGGCGGAGAACUUAAUGCGUUAGCGACGGCACGGGAGGAGUCGACACCUCCCACACCUAGUUCUCAUCGUUUACGGCGUGGACUAC